rnacentral:lncRNA from 1 species
GUUAGCAAUUAUUAAAUGGUUUGUUAAAAAAUACAAUAAAAACAGAAUUAAGGUAGGAGAAUUGCUCACCCAGGUGUUUGAGAUCAGCCUGGGAUAACAAAGUGAGACCCUAUCUCUGCAAAAAAAUUUAAUAAUUAGCUGGGUGUGGAUAUGUGUGCUUAUAUUCCCAGCUACUGGGGAGGCUGAGGCAAGAGGAUUGCUUGAGCUCAGGAGCUUGAGGCUGCAGUGAGAUAUGAUCAUACCAUUGCACUCAUUCUAGCCUGGGCAACAAAGCCAGAUUCUUUCUCAGAAAAACAAACAAACAAAAACAAAAAAAAAACCACCCCAGAAAAACAAAACAAAACAAAAAACAACAAAUAAUUUGGGAGCAUUAGCUUGUUUGUAAAAUCACUAUAAAGGACGAUAAAAUGGUAAAAUGGUGAACUUCCAUGUGCUAGAAUUAAAGCCCUCCCAAAAUUGUGGAUAGAUAUUCAUGAAAUGGGGAAAUUCCUACAGAUUCAGAAGCAAAGUAGCUAGUCAAUGAUUCAUGAAUAAUUGUGUUAACAGCCCAUGCGGAUUCCCUGGGAACUCUCUACAUGCGAGUGUCCCAACAGGCUUCCAUCACCAUGAUUAUGUAAAGCAAAAUGAGGAAAUUCCCUGAUUGUUUCCAUAUCAGUUGGGCUUUAAGUCCUCCCUUGGCUGUAUUUCUUCUCCUUCACGGUAUCUUUGAUGAUGAUUUUAACCAAGUGUUACCUGUAUGCAAAUAUUUUGUACAAAUAUUUCCACUGAAGAUACAAAAUAAAAGUUUUUCCAGAUAAAAAGCUUCGUAGGAUUGGCCCAGAAUGGAUAACAUUUUUAUUUUGAGACAGGGGCUCACUCUGUCACCCAGGCUGGAGUGUAGUGGUGAUCACAGCUCACUGAAACCUCUGCCUCCUGGGCUCAAGUGAUCCUCCUACCUCUCAGCUUCCUGAGUAGCUGGGACUACUGUUGCCUGCAACUGUGUGCCUGGAAAUCCCUUUUUUUUUUGGUAGAGACAGAGUUUCACCAUGUUGCCCAAGCUGGACUUGAACACCUGGGAUCAAGCGACCCACCAGCCUCCACCUUCCUGAGUGCCAGGAUUACAGGCAUGAGCCACUGCGCCUGUAAUAACAAUUUAGGGGAUAUGUUAUUUACCUAUUGCAGCAUAAAAAUUACUCCAAAGCAUACUGGCUUAAAACAACAAAUAUUUAUUAUGUCAAAGUAGGUCAAAAAUCUUGGUGUAUUUCAGCAGAGUGUUUGUGGUUCAGAGUUUUUCACAAGGUGUUGCCUGGGCUGCAGUCACCUCAAGGCACAACAGGGGGAAGAUCUGGUUUCACAUUCAUUCAAGUGGCUAUUGACAGGCCUCACGUCCUCAUUAGCUAUUGGCUUGUUCCUUUCCAUGUGGGUCUUUCCACAAGGCAGCUUACAACAUGGCAGCUGGCUUCUCUCAGAGCAAGUCAGCGAAAGAGUGAAAUAGAGCAAGCAAGGUGGAAGCCAAACUGUUCAAAAUCUAAUUUCAGAAGUACCAUCCUGUCACUUUUGCUGUAUUCUAUCCACUAAAAGGAAGUCACUAGAUCCAGUCUACAAUCAGAAGAAAAAAUUACACACAGACAAAAAUUGACAAAUGAAAGCCAUCUUAGAAGUUGUCUACCACAGAAGGGGCAGUUGUUUUCCAGAAUUACCUCAAAGGAAAGCACAACAGUCAGACGUGAAAUGGAAACAGAAAAAUCUUCUGAAGCAGAAUAGUAACGCUGUGAAUUUAAAAGUAAUGGAUUUACAUUGACAACAUGCACAACAGGCUCAUGUAAAAGGAUUAUCUGAUGUGUCAUCAUGACUUAAUGAAGAACGCAAAUGCUUCUCGAUGAAAUUGAAGUAAAAAGAGGAAACAGAAGGGAAAAUGAGAGUCUAAAAAGAAACAAAGAGAAGUUAACUUUUAAGAGAUGACAAAUUCUACCUGCCACGAUGUUUUAUUUUAAUCUGAAAGAAAUUAUAAAGCUGAUACUUUCUGAAAAUAUAUCCUUUUACAGUAAAUAUUCUUGUGAAAUCUGCCAACCUACUUUUGUUUUAUUUCAAAAGCUUUUGUACCUCUCCAGACUAAACAAAAUACUUAAAAGAUGAUAUGGACAUUUAAAAAUAUUGUACUUAAAAAUAGAGAAGAAUAAAAAUCAAGAAUUCAUUCAAAAGAAUAGUGAAUUCAAAUAACUUUCAAAUGUUAUUCUAAUUUAUGAGUUGCUGCUACAUCGAUCUUCCUACUGAAAACAAAAAUAUCUGUUGCUGACAUCUACCAAAAAGUGAAUUUUUUCCCCAAAUUGAGCUGAGUCCACCUGUUUUGGUAAUGAGUUAGAGAAAUAUAUUCUGUUCUUUUUUAGAAGCUCCAUCAGAGUGGAAGACAUUUAUGAACUAUAUAAAUGUCUCAUUAGACUCCGUCUCAAAAAAAAAAAAGAAAUGUCUCAUUAAUUUUUAGUUAUUGGUUUCUCAUUCUAUGACCCAGAGUCAUGAAAAUUUCAGAAAACCACAGGUUAUUUGUUGAGUGUUCAAAUUGCAUAAUUAAAUAACUGUCAUUGUUGGGAAAGGAGAAUGAUAUGGAAGACAUAGCCCACACUUGGCUCUUGAAAAGUUUACCACUGAACUGAGCUAACAGAUAAAACUUCAUCAAUUUCUUAUCACUGAACCUGAGGGUUACACACAGCUGCACACAUCCUUGCUCUGUAACUCUUUCUGUGAGAGAGGACAUGUGUAACUUCCUAUCUAAGGUCAAUCCCUUUAUCCCUCUUCUGAGAGCUGCAAUGGAGAUCCAGAACACAGUGGAAGAAUAUAUUGAAAUAUGUGUAUCUAAGGUGUUCUAUAAAUUCUCAUUUCAAUGGGCUGUCCCUUAGAUAACCAACACUCAUAUGUUGUUUCAUUUCUCAAUGCAUCUUACUGUGUUCCAUAUUACUUUGAGUCUAAUGGAAUGUACCAGCUUAAAUGGAGACUGUAUCUCUGCCUUUAUUACUAGAUCUGGUUGAUAUUGUUGUUAUCUGGAGUUUGAGAACUCUCUUCCCUUAUCAGGUGAGCUGCAUAAAUAAAAUGGUA